rnacentral:lncRNA from 1 species
GGAUCUGGAACAUCGGAUUACUCAUCUGGUGGCAGGUGGGUGUCGGAGCUGGCUGUGGACCCCACCGUCUGUAGCCAGUCCGCAGCAGCUUUCCUCUCUGGCAAACUCACAGCAAGCAUGCAGGGUGAUAAAACGGCAGUGACAAAUCCAGUGCAAUCAGGUGGGAAAUCCCCCCUGAGUAAUAACACCUCCUCAUCGCUCAUCCCGACCUCUUCCCCUGAGCCCCGCGUCUGCCGCUGAGAACUCAGCGCUGUUUUACCUUCAGCCCUGAGCUCCGCACAGGAAAAAGAAGAGAAAAGUGAGACACGGGAGUCUGGAGGAUCUCAAUCAAUGGUCAGAAAGGAGUACCCAGAAUGUCUACUGAUUGCCUCACUCCACGCAGAAUAUGCAACAUUCAUCCUUUCUCUAUCGCACCCUCCCUGCAUCUCCCAUCAUUCUUGACUCAGAGAAGAAGGCGUCAAGCAUCCUUUCAAGUACCUUCCCCAGGGUUGUCAUCAACUUAACUCCUCUUCAGUUUCCACUGCUACUAGUAAAGUAAUCAUGAUUUACGAAGAAUCCAUGGAAAAAUUUUGCAUCUAUUAAUUAUCUGACUUAAUCUUUGCCAGAUCGUUAUUAAGCAAGAAUUACUAUUACCCUGAUUUUCACAGAUGAGGAAAUUGAGGAUAAGGAAAUUUAGGAACCUGCCUAGAGUUACACAACAAGGAAGUUGCAGAGGGGAGGGUUUUUGCCAAGGUUUCUAUGAUUCCAAUGUUAUCACUUUUCUAAUGCAUCUGCUGACCGAGACUGAAGAAUCAACUACCUCCUCCAGGUAGGUGGUGCCUGGAUCUGUGUCCUCCUCCUUCAGGUAUCUCUCUUCUGUGGUCCUAUUGUCACUCUCUUGAUUCAGUUGGUCAUCAUCUUUCACCAGAACCAUGACCUUUGCUUCCCCCAGCCCAUCCUUCACAUUCCACUAGAAUCAUCUUUCUAAACAGAAGUUCCUAUUCUCAUAUUCCCCUUUCCAACUAUUUUCAUGGAUCUCAAGUAUUAGUGAAAUGAGAAAAAUGUCCAUCUAUCUUGGCAUUCCAGUUCUGCUCCUACUAUAUUCAUACAACUUCUGGCAUAUUAUUUAAGCACCGAGAAACAGUUUUCUCUCAUUGAAAAUGGACACUGUAAUCCCUAUUUAACUGCAAGGAGUAAAUAAAAUCACAUAUGAUGAUUGCCUAAUAAAGUGGCUGUCCCCCAGAAAUGCCUUAAUGAAUUGUGUUUCUUCUAGAAGGUCAGUCACCCAAGAAAUCUCUGGGACUGAGGAGAACGGGGGAACAGGAGACAGAUCGGAGAGGCUGGGACAUGGAGAUUUGCUUCAGAUGCAAAGAACUCAUCUCCUAGAAUUUUGCAGCAUCUUCCAGAGUCUAAGCUUGUGUUUUGACGUGCCCUUUCCAAGACACUGGGAUACGUGAAGCUCAGUGAAUCAGGAGCGUUUACGGAGGAGAAAGAAAAUAAGAUCUUCUCCCCAGCUAAAAAUCCAGGCAUUGUCCUUGGCUGGAAAACCUCUCUUGGAUUGUAUGGACAGACUGAAAAUACAUCUUAGCAUCCAAACAUAGACAGCCAGGGCAUGGACUCAGGCUUGAUGCCCAAAGAGAUCCUCAUCAUCAUACCUUAGAAGUACCACAUCCUUUGUUCUUCCUGGCUAAACCCCUUCAGCCAACAUCCCUGCCUGCAGGGUAAGCAAUUUACUUACAGUUAAACUGCUAAUAAGUAGGGAAUCAUGGAUCAAUCAGAAACACUAAAUAUUUCAAAAUAUUUAGGGUCAAUAUUUCAAAAAACAUUGCAACAUUUGUACAUUUACCUGCUACAAGUUUGCAUGGGCAGGAACCAUAUCAAGUCCAUUAAAAUUCCUGAUUUCCUUAUGUCUAGCAAAAUCUUUGAUCACUAGUUAUGUAUAUUUCAGUUAAUAAAAAUGAAGAGCAUGAGUACUCUUCCAUAAGAAAUGCAGCGUGUUGGGAUAUACAGAAUUUUGCAAAACAGAGUAGAAUGGGGAUGGUUAUCAUAACGCAGUGGGCCCAUCAGUGUAGUGGAGUUCAACAUUUUUGAUUCCUUCCAAAUUUCCAGAUUUCAUCUUUGAUGUUGGGAAUGUAAAGACUGAUAUAGCACAAUCAUGGUCCUCCAGAAAUGUAUCAGAUUGUUGGGGAAACAAAUAGAUGCAGAAAUAGUUAUCUGCGUGAUACAGCAAAUACAAACAUGUGCAAGAUGCUCCAAGGAUGUAGAAAGAGAAGCCCUGGUUGGGCUUGUGUGGAGGAGAUGUGGGAAAGGGGGCUUUCUCAAGGAAGCAAUGUCUGAACUCAGACGUGAAGGAACAGCAGAGCUUACCCUCCCCACAGGAGGUUGUACUGUACAGCAUGAGCAAAGAAAGGAGGAAGGUGUAAAGACAUUACCUUUGGUGCAAAGAUUGGCAUAGCUGUCCCACAACCUAUUUGAAUUAACAUUUGUCAAUGAGACACCAACAUCAAAUGCUAUCACUGACAUGUGGAAUCUAAAAAAAGGACACAAUGAACUUCUUUGCAGAACAGAUACUGACUCACAGACUUUGAAAAACUUACGGUUUCCAAAUGAGACAGGUUAGCGGGUGGGGGGAUGCACUGAGGGUUUGGGAUGGAAAUGCUGUAAAAUUUGGUUGUGAUGAUUGUUGUACACCUAUAAAUGUAAUAAAAUUCAUUAAGUAAUAAAAAAGGAAAAAAAAACUUUACAAUGAUAUAUAAAAAAUAAUAAUGUUUAUCAUGGUAGGUCUCCAUGCAUUAAGAAUUUACUGAGAGGCUAUUCUAUGCCAAGCCUAACAGUGGGCACCCAGGGUGGAUAGCUCAAAUGUCAUGUCUCCAAAAAUCCACAUUUCAGGAGAGAAAACGAUGCAACACUGUGCAAUGAGCUUGAAAGACCUCACCCAUAAUACAUGCUGGACCAGGAGCUUUAUUUGGUAGAAAUGCUUUGAGAAUAUUUUUUUUGUUUUUAUCUUGCCACUGGAUGUGUCCAUUCUGUUUAGUAAUUCUUCAGUCAAUAAUAACCAUUCAUAUCACCUCCCCUAAUUGCCAUUUUUAUAAGAUUUUUUAAAAUUUAUUAAGAAAAAAAUGUGUAUAAUAUUCUCUCUCAAAAAAAAAAAAA